rnacentral:rRNA from 1 species
UAGGGAAUCUUCCGCAAUGGGCGAAAGCCUGACGGAGCAACGCCGCGUGAGUGAUGAAGGUCUUCGGAUCGUAAAACUCUGUUAUUAGGGAAGAACAAAUGUGUAAGUAACUAUGCACGUCUUGACGGUACCUAAUCAGAAAGCCACGGCUAACUACGUGCCAGCAGCCGCGGUAAUACGUAGGUGGCAAGCGUUAUCCGGAAUUAUUGGGCGUAAAGCGCGCGUAGGCGGUUUUUUAAGUCUGAUGUGAAAGCCCACGGCUCAACCGUGGAGGGUCAUUGGAAACUGGAAAACUUGAGUGCAGAAGAGGAAAGUGGAAUUCCAUGUGUAGCGGUGAAAUGCGCAGAGAAAUGGAGGAACACCAGUGGCGAAGGCGACUUUCUGGUAUGUAACUGAAGCUGAUGUGCGAAAGCGUGGGGAUCAAACAGG